CCUACGGGUGGCAGCAGUGAGGAAUAUUGGUCAAUGGGCGUAAGCCUGAACCAGCCAAGUCGCGUGAGGGAUGAAGGUUCUAUGGAUCGUAAACCUCUUUUAUAAGGGAAUAAAGUGUGGGACGUGUCCUAUCUUGUAUGUACCUUAUGAAUACGGAUCGUCUAACUCCGUGCCAGCAGCCGCGGUAAUACGGAGGAUCCGAGCGUUAUCCGGAUUUAUUGGGUUUAACGGGUGCGUAGGCGGUCUUUUAAGUUAGCGGUGAAAGUCUGUGGCUCAACCGUAGAAUUGCCGUUGAAACUGGGAGGCUUGAGUAUGUUUGAGGCAGGCGGAAUGCGUGGUGUAGCGGUGAAAUGCUUAGAUAUAACGCAGAACCCCGAUGGCGAAGGCAGCCUGCCAAGCCAUGACUGACGCUGAUGCACGAAAGCGUGGGGAUCAAACAGGAUUAGAUACCCGAGUAGUC
rnacentral:rRNA from 1 species